AGAGUUUGAUCCUGGCUCAAGAUGAACGCUAGCUACAGGCUUAACACAUGCAAGUCGAGGGGCAGCAUUUCAGUUUGCUUGCAAACUGGAGAUGGCGACCGGCGCACGGGUGAGUAACACGUAUCCAACCUGCCGAUAACUCGGGGAUAGCCUUUCGAAAGAAAGAUUAAUACCCGAUGGCAUAAUUAGACCGCAUGGUCUUAUUAUUAAAGAAUUUCGGUUAUCGAUGGGGAUGCGUUCCAUUAGGCAAUUGGUGAGGUAACGGCUCACCAAACCUUCGAUGGAUAGGGGUUCUGAGAGGAAGGUCCCCCACAUUGGAACUGAGACACGGUCCAAACUCCUACGGGAGGCAGCAGUGAGGAAUAUUGGUCAAUGGACGAGAGUCUGAACCAGCCAAGUAGCGUGAAGGAUGACUGCCCUAUGGGUUGUAAACUUCUUUUAUAUGGGAAUAAAGUUUUCCACGUGUGGAAUUUUGUAUGUACCAUAUGAAUAAGGAUCGGCUAACUCCGUGCCAGCAGCCGCGGUAAUACGGAGGAUCCGAGCGUUAUCCGGAUUUAUUGGGUUUAAAGGGAGCGUAGGUGGACAGUUAAGUCAGUUGUGAAAGUUUGCGGCUCAACCGUAAAAUUGCAGUUGAUACUGGCUGUCUUGAGUACAGUAGAGGUGGGCGGAAUUCGUGGUGUAGCGGUGAAAUGCUUAGAUAUCACGAAGAACUCCGAUUGCGAAGGCAGCUCACUGGACUGCAACUGACACUGAUGCUCGAAAGUGUGGGUAUCAAACAGGAUUAGAUACCCUGGUAGUCCACACAGUAAACGAU
rnacentral:rRNA from 1 species